GCCCAUCCAGCUCAUCAU
rnacentral:snRNA from 1 species